rnacentral:rRNA from 1 species
UUCUUGGUUCCAUUAGAGGAAGUAAAAGUCGUAACAAGGUCUCCGUAGGUGAACCUGCGGAGGGAUCAUUACACAAUAACCAGGCGGGCUGGACACCCCCCGCUGGGCACUGCUUCACGGCGUGCGCGGCGGGGCCGGCCCUGCUGAAUUAUUCACCCGUGUCUUUUGCGUACUUCUUGUUUCCUGGGUGGGCUCGCCCGCCCUCAGGACCAACCACAAACCUUUUGCAAUAGCAAUCAGCGUCAGUAACAACGUAAUUAAUUACAACUUUCAACAACGGAUCUCUUGGUUCUGGCAUCGAUGAAGAACGCAGCGAAAUGCGAUACGUAGUGUGAAUUGCAGAAUUCAGUGAAUCAUCGAAUCUUUGAACGCACAUUGCGCCCUUUGGUAUUCCAAAGGGCAUGCCUGUUCGAGCGUCAUUUGUACCCUCAAGCUUUGCUUGGUGUUGGGCGUCUUUUGUCUCCAGUUCGCUGGAGACUCGCCUUAAAGUCAUUGGCAGCCGGCCUACUGGUUUCGGAGCGCAGCACAAGUCGCACUCUUCGCCAGCCAAGGUCAGCGUCCAGCAAGCCUUUUUUUCAACCUUGACCUCGAUCAGGAGGA